AGGAAAACCGGAUCGUUCCCUCCCUAUGUAUACAAGCUGUAAUGUUGGAUAACAUUUCUUUUUAUUCUUAACUUGCCCCCUUGCUAUUUCGGUAGCUGUUUGUAUUGCCCCAAGCUGUGUCACCUGUGUGCUCUGCAGCUCCCUCAUGCAUGCACAGCCCGUAUCGAAGCAAAAUCUUCAAACGAUUGGUUUUCCACCAGUAUAAGUCAAUUCCCUACACCUCAUUCCUAUUCCCAUUGCUACGAUGUGCUGUUUCUGACUUUAUAAAAUGACCUGAACUGAAUGAAUGCUUUACGAGUGUGGUUUCACCUGAGCCAUUGAGAGCAGUUAAUGUUCCUUUUCCAUCACGAUACCUCUGUGGGUGCAGCUUUUAAAGAUGUUAGCCUUUUCUGUAGCUUUAAUCAUUUAAUCAUUGAAAGGCUGCUCCAUUCUCAUCCAUAACUUCAAAUUCGCAUCGAUAACUUCUCACAAUGCUUUCACACCAAGUUUGUCAUCCUGGGGUCACUUCCUAGUUAAUAUUUCCUUAUUUCCUAUGAGCCAACCUCGCUCCUCGAGUUGGAGCCUUUCUGAGUGCUGUGGCAGCAGCCCCGGUCUGGGCCAGGUGGGUUUUGUCAUCACCUAAAUCUCCUCAAAACGCAUUGAGAAAGCUUUGUGGGUGCCGAUGGUGGUCUUGAAUUCAAAUAGCUUCCAGCUUAUUGUGUAUUUUUGUUCUGCUCCGUUUUCUGUCCUGAGCAGUUAGAUCCUACAGGUGAAUAGCAGUGUUAGAGGGGGCUGGCUGGAGUCUGUACUGGGAAAAGAGGGCUGGCUCGAAAGCUUGGGCACUUCACAGUAUACUUGAUGAUAUUUAAGUGUCCGAUGACUGCUUUAGAGUCCUCCAAAGCCUGGAAGUAAAUCCAAAAACUUAGAAACCGAGUCUUCAAAAUGAGAUUUAAUGUGAGCAUCGCAAAUUCUAUCUCACCUUCAUGUCGAGUGACAGGAGGUGUGGAAGAGCAGAAAUGGGAAUGUUUUGCUGCAGGGAGAGGCUAUGCUACUUCAUGCCCGUGGGGAGCUGGAACACUGGUGCACUUGGCCUGGUCCCCCCCGGUAGCAGAGCCCAAGCCCCCGUAAGCCCCAGCUUCCCAAUGCUGAGACAUGAGCGUGCAGGAAGGAGAUGAAGUGGUAUAUAAAGCAUUCCCUACUGCUUUUCUCCUCUGAGAUCCAACGAGCGGAAUCCCCCCAGCAAAUACAGGCCAACAGUAGGCUGAGUGAGAGGCCCCACGAGCUUUUUCUACCCAUACUUUCUACCUCUUGACAUACAUUGUAGAGCCCCGUGAGCUGCUUGAAGCAGUUCGAACAGCACAAUGGGUUCCUCAGUGCCAGGCUGGCAGGAUCACAUGAAAUACCCGGUUGGGCAGAGGGCGAUUCCUGCCUCCUGCAGUGAGGAUCCUGUCGGGGAUCGUUUGAACCUGAGCCCAAGAGUGCUCACAUUAAAACUAAGGAACACACCUUUCCAAGGGGUAUCCUGUGAUGGGCUCAGGAACGCUUUCACCCAGUCUCUCAUGCUACCUCCGUACCCAUCCUGUGUGUCAACAUGAAGUACUUCACGACAGACGUUGGUUAAAUAGUGCAAUUACAGGGAGGUGAACCGGUUUCCAGCUAUUCUGAUGUGUUGAGGGGCCAGAAAGGGAGGGUUUCAUAAUGAGAAAUUCUACUGUUGUGUGUGUGGGCCUGAUUGUUCAUUUAGAAAGGAAUGUUACCAAUUGCUACCCCGGUUGUGUUUAAGACUGAAAUGCUGCAAGAAAACUCUGUAACCCUUCCAGUUGGAGUCUGUGAGGCACCUGGUGCUGGCUUUCUUCUGCAAUCUAAACCGAAAAGCUGCUAUUGGAAUGUAGUCCUAUCGUAGAGAUGCAGAAGGAAACUUCAGUUGUGUCACUUCUCUUGGUCUUCAGAGCAGUCAAAAUUAUUUUGAUGUAGGUUUUAGACUAUGUAUAUAAAUCUGAUUGAAGUACCAACAGCAAACCAUAAAUAAAAUGUGGACUUAAUUGAAGAAUGGGCCUAGUGG
ensembl:lncRNA